CCUUCGAUUAAGGUUCGACUCGAGCGAAAGCGAGAGAACGUUGCCAACGGCAACGGCCCGUAGGGUGAGGAGCGAAGCGACGAAUAAUCCUUCCCCCACCACCA
rnacentral:sRNA from 3 species